rnacentral:lncRNA from 1 species
UAGUAGCCUUCAACCCGUGGCUCUAGACAUCCUGCACCCUCUUCAGAUCAACAAGUCUAUAUUGAUUUGCACUUUGCGACCAUCCUUGUGUUGUCUUAACAGCUCACAUUUAUCUAGUGAGAUUGAUAUUUGUUUUGUUUUUUAGAUCCUCACAACAAAUUUUCAUGGAAGAAGCCAGUAGAACAAGAAAAAAUACCCAGAAUAUCCGGUCUCACCAGCUUUGACAAGAAAAAAGGAAAAAAAGAGACCAAAAAGAGACUGUAAGUGACAGAGGAAUCACCACAUUUGGACUCAAACACCUCAGUCCCCAAUGUGCUACAGGAAGAAAUAGAAAUGGCACUUAAGAAGAUAAAGUCAGGAAGAGCAGCUGAACCAGACAAAGUAGACACAGGAAAACUUAAGAACAAGAUCUUCCCUGCCUUUGAGAUUUUCCUGCAGCAAUUCCAGGUGCUGUGAGGAAGGAAAAUAACAAAGAAAAAAAAGCCUGUCCUCAGGGAGAAGGCAAGAUGCACAGGAAAUAAUUAGUGAUUAAUUUAGGUAUGGAAUUUAUACACCAAAAAUAAACUGGUUCAGAUCAUCUGCGUU